rnacentral:rRNA from 1 species
UCGGGAAUUUUGGGCAAUGGGCGCAAGCCUGAUCCAGCCAUGCCGCGUGGAUGAUGAAGGCCCUAGGGUUGUAAAAUCCUUUCGUCAGGGACGAUAAUGACGGUACCUGAAGAAGAAGCCCCGGCUAACUUCGUGCCAGCAGCCGCGGUAAUACGAAGGGGGCUAGCGUUGUUCGGAAUUACUGGGCGUAAAGCGCAUGUAGGCGGGUCGUUAAGUCGGGGGUGAAAGCCCAGAGCUCAACUCUGGAACUGCCUUCGAUACUGGCGACCUGGACCCAAGGAGAGGCGAGUGGAAUUGCGAGUGUAGAGGUGAAAUUCGUAGAUAUUCGCAGGAACACCAGUGGCGAAGGCGACUCGCUGGACUUGUGGUGACGCUGAGAUGCGAAAGCGUGGGGAGCAAACAGGAUUAGAUACCCCAGUAGUCCCUGAGCGGGCUGGCAAGGCGCAU